rnacentral:lncRNA from 1 species
AUAAGAGAACUUACUAACUACCGCAUAUCGGAAUUUCUCCAUAAUAUUCAUUCUAUUAACCUCAUCUUCAGUCCGUUGUCCGUUGCACUCUGGGAAUUUCAUUAUUGUAUGACAACUUCUUCACAGGAAUUGGUUCAAUUAUUUGUACAAAAAGAUGAUUAUCUAUAGGAGCUUUAAAUGAUGAGACAAAAUUGCCUGUUGCAACCAUGUUAGGCAAAAUAUUAGGCUCGGUAGGCAAACUAGGAUUUGAUGACUCAAUUUUUGACAGGAAAAGAGGAGGAAAAUCUAUUGAAGAUUAAAGUGAGGUGGACUGGUCAGCGAUAGAAAUAGGCUGACCAGCGGCCAUGGUGGCCAUUUGCAGUGGCUUAGUGGUUUAUCUUAGGUAAGCAUCUAUCAUGAGGGUUCUG